ensembl:lncRNA
CUACUAUUUUUCUCCAUCUUUCUAGCAGCCUUUGCACCCCUUAAAUUGUGUGCAGCUCCUGCAACUCACAGGCACAAAGUAGUGUUUAUUUCAGCCAGCAUGAAAGUAAGUGUUAUUUUCCCGGGAAAGGUCAAGGUUUCUUUCCGGAGAGGGCCGACUGGGUAUUUGAGGCAAGACCCAUCAGUCGAGGCUAAGAGGAUUAAAGACCACCCUGACCUCCAGGACAAGUCAGCGGCCCAGAAUGAAGACCGGGUGAAAGACAAUGCCAGGUCUGUCGUAUUCAUGAGAGGGGGCGAUAUAUCAGACAAGCAGGAGGUGCUUGGGGAGUAUGUCCUGCAGUUUGGGAAAUACAAGGGAAAGUUAUUCCGGUGGCUUGCAGAGAAUGAUGUAGGGUACGUAAUAUACCUCAUCAAGAAAGUCAGGGAGGAGGAGAGAGCAGGCCAGUUUAAGCCAGAUGGUCCCAAGAAGAACAGCUUGUUGUCACUCCUGCAGUACAGCUACAGCUUCCAGGAGAUCAAGGACCUGCUGCUGUAUCUGGACAGUCAGGUAGUAACACUACCUGACUGUCCCCAAAACCAACCUAGUUGGUUUUGGGGUUCACACGAAGAGGACGUGGAGGGAUGUUUGGAAGCGGAGAGACAAUGGAUUUUAAGCGUUUAUGCUGCGACAGCAGUGUACGCCAGGCAGCAAAAUGUUUAGGCUCCAGGACUACCUGAACAGGCAGAGUGCUUCUGAGGGACGUGCUUCCCACUGGGCAUGCAACAUCGGCCUCUCAUUGCCCAGCUUUCACAGAAAUGGAGGAUGAUGAUGAGUUGGAGAGGAUGAUGCUCUCUAUAUCCCCAUCCAAACUCCAAGCGGAGGAAGGAGUUGAGGAAUGGGAGAGAAAGAUGCCAGCCACACCUAUUCCAGGCCAUCUUGGUGAGAACAACAUAUGCACACACACACACACACACACACACACACACACACACACACACACACACACACACACACACACACACACACACACACACACACACACACACACACACACACACACACACACACACACACACACACUGUCAAGUUAUAUUGCUGUUUAAUGUUUUGUAAAAUGAUACAUGCUUGUUAUCUAAAAAAAAUUUCUGCACUGUGCCAUCAGGUUCCCAAGUUGUCGAAGUCCCUGUGGUCAAAGGUUUUAUUCUUACUACAGUACUACUGAUUGUCCGGACAUGAAUUCGGAUAAUCUGUUCUACGUUUAUUUGUUGGUUAAGCCACGUUCUGGCCUGUUUGUUACGCCAUGUUCCGGCCUCUUUUAAUGCCUGUGUUCAAUUGUUCCAUUAACAUUGAAGGCAUUAAUAUCUCGUCAUUGAGGUACCUCCGGAGUUGCUUGCCUUGGGGUUGCCUUCAAGCAAGAACACAACAUCAGCGCCAAACACCGUGUUGUGUCAAUCUUUACUCCCUGUGAGGUCAGUGUGUUCCACACCUGCUCGUUCCACAGCACCUGCUGUUGCCACAGCAUCCUCUGCCCUGUCUAGAGUACCUGCUCUGUCUACGGCAUCCAGGUCCUCUUCCGCCCUUCCUGCAGCACCUGCUCUGUCGGCGUCGUCAAGGUCGUCUACAGCACCCUCAACAUCAUAUCCACCUCCUGCAGCACCCUCGGCACCAUGUUCACCUGAUCCACCACUCCCAAGGUACGACCAGGAUGUGAUCCGUUGGAACUGCUCUCACCAUCAGAGAAUAUGGAUGAAGACCGAGAUGGAGGCCUUGGGGCUUUGGCCAGGUUCUCGACCGGUGAGACAUCCAAUGAACAUGAUCUCCUUGUGGCGUUACCCACCUCAGCCUGAACUAAUUGACAGUGUUUACGAACUACCAUCGCCCAACUACUUCCAGCUCCAUCCAUUUUUUAUAUGGAAGCCAGAUCACACCAUAAUGGAGCGAGUCAAGAACAAUUACACUCUGCCCUGUCUCUAUGGCUGUGGAAGUCCUUUCAUUGUAUCAUCAGGGGUUGGGCGACCCCGUGUAAUUAUUGGCUUGAGUGGCCAGUAUUAUAUCCUGGCGUCACGGCUCUGUUGCAAAGGAUGCAACAAGUUCUGGCACGCAGACAAGCCGCAAUGGUUGGACAUGUUGCCGAGCCGAUUCACCAAGAUCUUACCAGCUUUCCUUACCUUCAAAAAGGCAAUUUGUAAGACUGUGAUGGAUGAGCUGCGGCGCUCUGGAAAGUCUCCAAAUGACAUGGCCAACCAGUUAAAUGAGGCUCUCCACCUGAAAUAUGAGCGGGCACACUUGGCAUACCUGGAAAGUGUGAAGAACGUGCUGGAUGGAGAGAGUGGACUGUAUGGACAGCGAACCAUCACAGGGGCAUUGAGAAAAACAUCAACUCCUGCUCCAUUUGGUGGGUAUGCGGAUGGGUGGAACGGCGUGACGUUAUCGGGGCAUUACCUGGUCGAGUGCCUUAUUCAGGAGUUCCACAGACAGGAGGACACCCUUGUUCUCCUCCUCCAAGGCACAUUCGGUCAGGCCUUGAGAGCUGACCACACCAGGAAGGUGGCGCGGAAAGUGGUUCUUGCCUCAGGCACCAUGUCAUCAUAUGCUGUAAUGAAUGAGAAUUGGAUGAUCCUGUCCUGGGUCAUGCUUCAGACAGAGGGGGACAGAUCCUUGGAACACAUGUACGAGGGGCUGUCCUGCCGUUACACCUCCGCAGACAUCCCCAAAGCCAAAUACCAAUGGGUUGACAGGGACUGCUGUGCAGCCUUUAGGGUCGCAAAGUCUGGUCCCCAGGAGCACCUCCUCUGGGACUGCUGGAGAACCACUGAUGAUUUAGUGGCUGAGGCAACUUCAGGGCCCCUCAACAACACCUGUGCAUCCCGCAGCAAGUUCAACAGCGACAUUGACAUCAAGCUGGACCUGUUUCAUUGCAUGCGCCGCCUCUCCAGAGAGUGUGUGUCAGAGCACCAUCCUCUGCACAGCUCCUUUUGCAAGUUUCUUUCUGUAGCUUUCACUAUCGUGGACCAGACAGACCUAGAGAAACUUAAACAGGCAUACGUUUUUUGUGGUAUUGUGCCUGCUAAUCCCACCAAACAGCACACCAAAGAGCAUUGUCGCACCAGGAUACCUGGUCCCCAAGAGCUGCUGGAGAGGGUUGAGCGCGUUUUGCAGCGAUUCCAUUUGGAGUCUGAUCCCGAUGGUAUCCCGCUGUUUAAGCCGUCAAUGUUGACGGUGUGGAGGAUUCAGCGUUUUCACAUACUCAGAGGCUGCUUGAGUGACCCAGAGGUUGCAGAGGGAAUCCUUUACAGAUAUGGCGGAACAGUGCAGCUCAACCAUGUCAAGGGAGAGGGAGCUACUGUGCCCCUGUGGAUCCCUGUGAGAGGUACAUCACAGCAGGAGGGGUUCCAUUUCCAUCAAGCAAAAUGGGUGACGGGUAACAAGGUCUCCACAGAACUCUUCCAAGCUCAGGGCAUGAUUGGUGUGGCUCGGUGGAAUUUCAAGCGCCUUGUGGACCUGAAGUUGCCUGAUGUGAAGCUGCCUGCAGUCUUUGAUCCAGUACUGAUGAUGGAGCUGAAUAAGCUCUCUGAAGUGCUGACAGGUCAUGCCAAGUACCCUGCCUUGCGUGUUUCACACACUGACACAGGAGAAAGGUUUGGACUCCAGUAUCUAGAACCUGGCUGUCGUCCUGCGCCGCUGGACUGCAGCAAGCACAAGACCCAGAAGGUUCCUGUUGCAGGAGAGAGAGAGCACCACUCCUCAGAACCGUCUCUUCUCAGUGAGACAUUCACUGAAGACCCAUCUGAGGAGACGAGGGAGGAAGACUGUGCUCCGGAUGACCUCUUUGGUGUGGCUUCCCUUGGCUCACAUGCAGUGGCCCAACCCUCACAGCCAUUCAAAGUUCAAGUUCUCCCAGUCCCAGUGACGCCACCGAUGCCCAUGUCUGCCUCUCUACGUGCUGCACGCACAGUUCUAUUCCCAGUCCCAGUCCCAGUCCCAGUGACGCCACCGAUGCCCAUGUCUGCCUCUCCACGUGCUGCACGCACAGGUCCAGUCAAGGCAGGCGGCCUACUUUUUGUCCUGGACCAAUCCCGGUGGACACAGCCAAUGAGGGAUGCCAUCGAUGGCCUUCUGGCAAAGCACCAUGGCCAGAAAGACCUCCUCACCAAGGUGGAUGCAGAGUAUGCUGCCCUUGUGCUUGCUGCCUCCAGAGAUCCGAACAACUUGUUACAUCCGACCACCAAACAGCACAUCUCACGGUAUGUGAAACACCAGGCCAAGCUGAUGAACAGAAGUUUGUGUCUGAAUACCAGUCCAGAGAAACUCCUUGAGACACAAGAGCUGUGGCAUCAUCUCACAGAGGGUAGUGAAACUGUUUGCGUCCCGGUGGUAACCCUCCCACCUGCACCUGUGAAUCCGCCCAGCAGUAAGUCGCAAGAGCCCUCUCUCACAAAGGCUGAAAUUGAAAACCUGGUCAAAGAGCUUGUGCAAAAGCAGCAGCAGCAGCAGCAGCAGCAGCAGCAGCAACAACAACAGCAGCCUGUGCCAAAAAAAAUUAGGAACUGUCUUGCAUGUGGCCAGCCUAAGUCCCGUUACCUUGGCGAUGGCUCCUCCAUUCACUUCUUUUACCAGGCAGGAAAGGUUAAGUACUUUUACUGCUCUACAAAGAUGCAUCGGACCUAUGUAGCAGAAGGCCUUACUGAUCCCCGCAUGGAAUUUCUUGACUUUGCUGCCACACCUUUUUUCAAGAGAGAGCUGGAGGCAGCAAAGCAGCGGUCUGCUGAGUCCAGGCAGGUAACAGAAGAGCGGGGAAAGAGAAAGGCCAUGGAGCAGCUUCCCACUGGUCGCCUGUGUAGGUUCUGCCACAAACCUAUAAAACAAGGCCCAGGCGGUCGGCAUACACACACUGGGUUCCCUGGUGUGACCGGGAAAUAUGUGUACUGUCCUUCAAAAGUUUUUCACCUGUAUCAGUCAGAGGGGAUGACUUCGGAGAUGUCUUGGGAGGAGUUCUGUCAGUCUCCCUUUUAUGAGACUGAAAAGAAGAGGUGGGUGGCAGAAAAGGGAAGGUGAUCGGCCCGUUUGGAACACUUUUAGUUAUUCAAUUUGGUUAAUCUUUUAUUUAUUUUUUUAUUUGGUUCUGGGUAUUUUCUGAUCAGAUGCUGGAA